UACGUAGGGGGCAAGCGUUGUCCGGAAUCAUUGGGCGUAAAGAGCGUGUAGGCGGCCCGAUAAGUCCGCUGUGAAAGUCCAGGGCUCAACCCUGGAGUGCCGGUGGAUACUGUCGGGCUCGAAUCCGGAAGAGGUGAGUGGAAUUCCUGGUGUAGCGGUGAAAUGCGCAGAUAUCAGGAGGAACACCAAUGGCGAAGGCAGCUCACUGGGACGGUAUUGACGCUGAGACGCGAAAGCGUGGGGAGCAAACAGG
rnacentral:rRNA from 1 species